UGGGGAAUAUUGCACAAUGGGCGAAAGCCUGAUGCAGCAACGCCGCGUGAGUGAUGAAGGCCUUCGGGUUGUAAAGCUCUGUCUUUUGGGACGAUAAUGACGGUACCAAAGGAGGAAGCCACGGCUAACUACGUGCCAGCAGCCGCGGUAAUACGUAGGUGGCAAGCGUUGUCCGGAUUUACUGGGCGUAAAGGAUGCGUAGGCGGAUUUUUAAGUGAGAUGUGAAAACCCUAAGCUUAACUUGGGGACUGCAUUUCAUACUGGAAAAUCUAGAGUGCGGGAGAGGAGAAUGGAAUUCCUAGUGUAGCGGUGAAAUGCGUAGAGAUUAGGAAGAACACCAGUGGCGAAGGCGAUUCUCUGGACCGUAACUGACGCUGAGGCAUGAAAAGCGUGGGUAGCAAAACAGGAUUAGAUACCCUGGUAGUCCACGCCGUAAACGAUGAGUACUAGGUGUAGGAGGUAUCGACCCCUUCUGUGCCGCAGUUAACACAAUAAGUACUCCGCCUGGGAAGUACGAUCGCAAGAUU
rnacentral:rRNA from 1 species